rnacentral:rRNA from 1 species
GGACCCGCACAAGCGGUGGAUGAUGUGGUUUAAUUCGAUGCAACGCGAAAAACCUUACCCACCUUUGACAUGUACGGAAUCCUUUAGAGAUAGAGGAGUGCUCGAAAGAGAGCCGUAACACAGGUGCUGCAUGGCUGUCGUCAGCUCGUGUCGUGAGAUGUUGGGUUAAGUCCCGCAACGAGCGCAACCCUUGUCAUUAGUUGCUACGAAAGGGCACUCUAAUGAGACUGCCGGUGACAAACCGGAGGAAGGUGGGGAUGACGUCAAGUCCUCAUGGCCCUUAUAGGUGGGGCUACACACGUCAUACAAUGGCUGGUACAAAGGGUUGCCAACCCGCGAGGGGGAGCUAAUCCCAUAAAGCCAGUCGUAGUCCGGAUCGCAGUCUGCAACUCGACUGCGUGAAGUCGGAAUCGCUAGUAAUCGUGGAUCAGCAUGUCACGGUGAAUACGUUCCCGGGUCUU